CACGUAGGGGGCUAGCGUUGUCCGGAUUUACUGGGCGUAAAGGGCGCGUAGGCGGUAGCACAAGUCAGUUGUGAAAUCUCCGGGCUUAACUCGGAAAGGUCAACUGAUACUGUGCGACUAGAGUGCAGAAGGGGCAACUGGAAUUCUCGGUGUAGCGGUGAAAUGCGUAGAUAUCGAGAGGAACACCUGCGGCGAAGGCGGGUUGCUGGGCUGACACUGACGCUGAGGCGCGAAAGCCAGGGGAGCGAACGGG
rnacentral:rRNA from 1 species